rnacentral:lncRNA from 1 species
AUUAUUCAUCUCCCAUGACCUCUUAAAAUUCAAGACUCAGGCACAAACAUCCUCAUCUUAGCAGGACAAGCUAAUUCAUUCGCAUGCAGAGCAACAAUAACAAUACUCCAAACAUACCAAGGGACGUCACACUGAAAAAACAAUGCAACCAACGGGUUCUCUCCAGUGGCAAAAUUGACUAUUUUUGAACUUGCACGACAUCUAAACAAGAACUACAUGAUACACAAUUUUCCAUCAUGCACCUCCUAUCCUGAGCAUAAAUGAAAUGAGAGAAGGGUAUCCUGAACAUCUAAACAAGAACUUGCAAUUUUUUCCAUCAUAUGCACCCAGAGAUUCUGCCUUCUCCCCUGGCCCUGAAACAAGAGCACCAUCAGUUUAGUUUUAAACAAAUUGAAAGUUCGAACAUGAGGCAUGUAGUUUUUCAAAUGAUGAAAGUCACAGAACUGAGCUAUUUUUGUUUUACUUCAAAUAAUUCAACAUGAAAAAGACAAAUACAGAUAAAUAUUUUUUUGUGCGAAAUUCUGAAGCAGAUGUCAGUUCGACCUUUUUAAAUACUUUUUUGCACAAGGAGAUGAUGUUAUUGAACUGGCUAGGUACAUUCAGCUUUACCUAGUAUGUUAUUGCCCUGGAACUGCAAUUUGUAUCUUUUACUGCUCAUCUUUAACAUUAAGAAAGUACUAAUCAGUACUAGUAUUUGUGUAAGUCAUACUGAUCAGUACUGCUGCUUGUCGUACUGAUGAGCACUAAAUUUUUCAUCUAGUGGACUGCUCUUGGUUUUCAAGUUGGACUUGAGUACUUUUAAAUGGACUUUUUACAGAGCUCUGAUCAAAAUCUAGAUUCCAAGAAAAAAUGGCCUUCAUGGAUGGCAGUAUGUGAACUGAAGAGUAGGAGAGGAGGAGCACGAAGGUGUUUCUCACCAAUCAUGUUCCUGAUGGCGUGGUGGAUGGAGGCAUGAACUGAUGCUGGUCAUUUUGUUGAACCUCCACCAAAGAACCCCUAUUAAGUCGUAUAGAAGAGAAACCAGAGAUAAGGUUAGUGACAUGGAGCUGGUGCAGUACGGCGACCUCGCCGUAGAUGCAACACCCCAACACACGAGCACCUCACAUAUGUAAGGGAACGGUGCUGGACGUCGUGGUGGUUCUGGACCAGCUCGAGGGCAUGCCUGGCACCAUUGAGGCAGGCCGUGGGGGCUGGCUGGGGGAGGUCAUGGUGGUGGUGACACACGCCAGAGUGAGGAACGGUGACCCACACAAGAAUUUGUAGCAGCUGAGGUGGCAUACGUGCACGGGAGGAGGAAAGCAACCACGUGUGGGGGCGGCGAGCAGUUGUGAUGGUGCGCUUUCCCUCUUGGUUAUUUAUCAAUUACAUAGCUCCAAAAGAAAGGUAACUGAUACAACUACUAGCAAUGUGCUAAAAGAACAUUAGUAUCUAUUAGUUGGGAAUCAUGUGUAUUUGCCUCUCUGUAUUCGAAAUUGCUUCAAUUGAUGGCUCAUUGGAUAACAUGCAUGGUCCUUAUAAUUAUGAAGUUAGCAGCAGUUCUACAUUAGAAUUCCGAGAGAAAUUUCUACAAAAUUCAUUAACCAAAGUGACAGUAUGGUGCUCAUUCUCAAGCACAAUGACAAGUACUUGUUUGUGCUAUAUGAAGGAGAUGGAAACACAAAGGAAAUCAGACUCACCAUUGGGAAGUAGAUGAACUGAAAAGCAUAGAAAAUAUGAACUUGUGCAUCUUGUUUUAACUUCAUCCUACGAAAAAGGAACAAAUAUGGGACAUGAGUUUUUGUCAAGAUGAACUUACCAGGGUUUGGUGUUCGAAUUUUUAAAUGUUUGUGCUACCGGAAAUAGAGAAUAGCAGCAUGCCUCGACCAGAUCGGCGACUUCCUCACGGGCGGCCUCUCGUACACCGCGAGGGCAACACAUACACACACGAACUGACCAGAAUACACAACACGACCGGGUAGAUAAACAAAUUGAUAAGAAUACAUGUCUUCUCGAUUAUGAACUGAUAAGAAUACACAACAUGGACAACUAGCCAUGAACUUCUUGAACUCCCCUGUAGGUUUUUAAUGGUUUUUUGGUGUUCACGUUCUUUACGAAGUCCCUGACUUCUCGACUAUGAACUUACUACAUAGAAGGAUCCUCACAUACAUGUAUAACUUGACAGGAGCUGACAGAAAAUGUUGCAGCAAAAUGGCAUUUUUAUUGAACAUAAUAAUACAACCAUAUCUUGUAAUACAUCCAUCAUGAUGGAAUUAAAUGCACAGUGAAAUGGCAGCAUUACACAUACUCGAGAACUAACAGAUUAUUCUUCAGUUACUCUGAUCAACUUCAGUUUUCUUCAGAAAUUGGAUGAGAAAUAGCAUCGGCUAUGCUAUCAAUUUUUUGCAUCUCUAGCACACUUGUUGGGAGUAUUGUUCAUCACAUGAUGAACCUCUUUUUUUCUGUUUUUCUUGACUGUCAUAGAAUAAAAUAUUGAACUAUCUUGUAUAAGUAUAGUUUUCAUUUUUUUAAAUAAUUGUUCAAUGAACCUCCCCGCCACGUGAGUUUGAACUUAUGAAUUUAUUAGAAAUGAACUUGUGUGAGACUUUUUCUUUGCAUAGUGUACUACCAUUUUUUUGUUUAGUUUGUCAUACAUAGUGAACUGUCAUAUAAUUUUGGGCGAAGUUUUUUAUACCUUUUUAUGUUUGAAAAAUGAACUUUUUUCCUACGCUAUUGUUGUUUUUGCAAGGUCGUCUUACGUUCCAUAUGUACUUGAACUGAUUGAAGUUUGAAGAUUUGAACUUAUGUUUUCUUAAGUAUCGACUAUGCAAAAUAUAUAAAUCCAUUUUUCAUAAGUAUAGACAACGUCAAAGGGAAGAGAGGAAGGGCAGGAGUCAGGGGAGCAAAAGGAAGAUCUAUAGAAAAAUCAAAAGAGAAAUUUUGAUAAGAACAUUACAAGUUUGAAACCAUUCAAGAAUUAAGUUCCUAUGGCUAGUAGCUAUGCAGGAUUUAAGUGAACUCUCAGUAAAAGUAUUUUCGUAUUCCACAUGUAGUAAUACCUGGACUUGCUGUCACAUGUGUUCUUUAUAGUAAAUCGAGGCAAAUGAGAUGGUAAUCCUUCUCUUCAUUUUCUUUUUCUCUAUCCUGCAUCAGUUCAGAAAUCCAAUACAGGUUUCAGUUCAAAAGAGAAUUCCAUCCAUGCCUUGACUGACUAGCAGUAAUUAAAUAAUCAAAAUAAGUUUUUGCUAACCAGUUUAUGUCCUCUCAAUCAGUCCAAAUAAUCUAGCAUCUAGUAUCGAUUAAUCAGUUCGACAAAUGAGGUUGUUAACGAGCCCAUUAACGAUAAAAAUGAAAUCAGCUAAUAACUUACUGGCCGAAUCAAAUUUUAGUGCUUUCAAGCAGCAGCAAUAGUCGGACUGAUGGAGACAUCCAUGGGUGAUAUAUAGUUGAACUUGCAUGAUGUGCAAAUAAGAGCAUGACUUCUGUACUUACUACACGAGCAUGACUUCUGUACUUACUAGACAAUACUACGCCAACAAGUAUCAUGCUAUGUGAACUUUUGUGAUGGAUGACCUUUUAGUUUUUAUUAUCAGUACUUGUUGAAAAUAAAUAUCUAAACCACCAGACUUGGGUGUGGGAACCAAAAUUCAGAAGAGCGGCAUCUCAACAGGGAUUACACUAGCAUUGACAUUCUGACAAUAGUGAGGGCUCAAAUGCCAAGUAAUGUACAGUAACUGAAAAGGCAUCAUUUUUCUGACAUUCGGUUCUGAAACUAUGUGGACCUAAGUAACUAUUGGCAGUCAAGAAAUGUACAAGUUGCAUAUAUUUCUGCCUAGUAAAUUAUGCUACCAAGCUUACAAGUCAAAACAAUUUCUUGAACAUGCAGCACAAAUUGCAGGUUGCUCCCAUCUCUGUUCUCCAAAACAAUUAGAGGGGCGGAUGAAAAAGGAAACCUGUAACAAAUAAUUUUCAUUUCCGUAAGCAGAAACAAUCAGGCAAAAUCACUGACUUUCAACAAGAAAUGUGUAAUAGGUGUUUUUUUUCAAACACCUGCACACCAAAAUUACUGCAGUUUCAACAUGUACACUGAAACAUGCACGUUUUAGACAUAGAAGUGCCAUUGGAGGUUUCAGAAGUUUCAUCUAGAGUAGCACAUGUAGUUCUGCAACUAGAAAAAUUAUUUAUAUAGGAAAAGAAAUUUAUUCCGACAAACUGGAUGAGCUAGGAACACAAUAUUUGUCUUUCAGGCAGAAGUACAAACACCCACAGGCAAAAAUGCUAUUAACUUUUCGCUCCCCUGCAUUAAUAUUUGUACACAAAGACUUGUAGUCCCGUCAGGAGCAUUCGUACUCUUUGAAUCUUUUUUUGUUCUCUGUGUUUUUUCAUGUGGAACUCCGCCUAUGUCUUCUAGGCAUAGCCGGUCCCAAGCCGGGUAAAGGAGGAGGGUUGUGAUAGGCUUGGCGAGCCAACGUAAAAACUAGCCAGUCCCAUAGGUAUGAAACCCAUUUGAGCGAGAAUAGUACUAGGAUGGGUGACCUCCUAGGAAGUCCUCGUGAAAGGGUUUCAUAUCUAAGGGUUGUGAUAGGCUUGGCGAGCCAACGUAAAAACUAGCCAGUCUUUUGGGUAUGAAACCCAUUUGGGCGAGAGUAGUACUAGGAUGGGUGACCUCCUGGGAAGUCCUCGUGAAAGGGUUUCAUAUCUAGCCUACCCCAACUUGUUUGGGAUAAAAGGUUUCGUAAGUAAGUGUGUUUUUUCAUGUGGUUUCUUAUAUGAACCUUUUCAAAAUCUAAAUUCGUCGUGAUGAUAUCUGCGAACCUUCUGAGACAGUGAUGUUGAACUUGCGCUCGAUUGCAUAUGUAUUUGAAGGAAUUUUUACUAAACACCACAAUCAUCUACUUGUAUUGAUCAUUUACUGCUAUGAACAGUUGGAAGGAAAACAAACCAAUCGAGUGGCAUGAGUUAUGGUGGCCCAUUACGCAUAAAAUUUGAACUUCUUUUUCUACCAAGAGGGUUGGGUCGUGUUUUUUGUUUUGAACUAGCAGUGGUCUUGGUUUUGAUUUUAUCUUGUAGCAGUACAUUAUUUCAGUCAGCUCGAUCUUCAUCAGUACUAGAAUGACUAGACAAGAAGUUUAGAUUUGUAGCAGCACUGCACCAAACUUACAGAUUUUUUCUUCAACUUUUUUAGGUUAUUACAUCAGUACUAGUAUGAUUGGAAAAAUAUUUCAGAUUUGUAGCAGCACACACAUGAAACUUAUAGAAUUUUAUGGAAAUGGACGAGUUCUGAAUUUUCGAACUCUUCCAAUGGUUGCACAUGAACUGAGCAAUAUAGCGACUAACGGUACAUCAUUUUGAUCUGAAAAGCUACUUGACUGAAAAUUGACAUACAUAUCCAAAAGUUCAAAACUACAAGACCCGCCCUAUGUUUUUCUGCUACUACACUAUCAAAACUUUUAUUCAAAACGUCUCUGAAAUUUAAACCUCAAUCUUCCUUCAACUGUAAUUUUCAUUUUGCCCAACAAACUAGAUGCACAGGAGCUAACUAGAUGCACAGGAGCUAACUAGAUGCACAGUAACUAUAAAAGCAGGGCAAUCUUUCUCAUGUGCGCUGCUUGGUGUCCAGCAUGGCAAAACACUAGUAGCAUACCUGGAGUUCCCACCGCGGCCCGAAGCAGAGAUCCAUUUUGGUGUGCUCGCGACAAGAAGCCGCCAACUAGUAUCCUCAAGCUUGGAGGUGACCAGCCAGCGUGGCUGCUAGCCAAGAGCUGCGUGUGUGGUCGCACGAAAAUGGGUCACUCCCAGGGGCAAACGACAGAGAUUGAAGGUUCAGCUAGGGCGCUCAGGGCGGUUCAAGGAGUUGGAGAAAGGCGGUUCAGCUGGCUAGGGAGGGGAACAUGGGUCGGAAGCAAGCAAGCGGAUCCUAGAGGCGGAGGGCCUCAGCGGCGAGGGGAAGAAGCGGAACCUUGUGGCGGCGCGUUGGGUGCUGGAAUUCCACAACCUCCACCAAUGGAAGCAUCAGUCCAAAUAUUCAAGAGUGAGCAGGCCGGAGGCGAAGGUGCAGCAGCUGAAAAUGUGUGAACAAGAGCUUACCACUGUCGCCCACCAGCUCCAUCGGAGAACCAGAGGUAGGGAAGGCGGGUGAGAACCUCGUGGCGCGACAGAAGUAGUAGGGAGGACGGCUAGCGAUGCGUGGUUCCAGGGGUGGACGCAGUACACGGAUCCGGUGGUUGGGGGGCGGCGGGCGGAUCCAGGGGUCGGGCGGCGGCGCUUGGAACCGGAGUUGGGCGGCGGCGCGUGGUUGGGGCCGGCCGUGGGUGCCGGCGCGCGGGCACGGGAGGAAGGAGGGGGUGCGCCGGCAGGGGUGGAAGGAGGCGGCGCGCCCGCGGGGGAGGAAGGAGGAGACACGCCAGCGGGGAGGGAGGAGGCGGCGCGCCGGCGGGAGGGAGGAGGCGGCGCGCUAGCGGGGAGGGAGGAGGCGGCGCAUGCGCGGCGGCGUGC